CAGCUUUCUUCUGGGCCUCAGCAUCCUGAUCCUGGCUGCUGGGGCCAUCCUGCUUGCCAUCAGGCGUUGCCAAUGGGGUCGCUUCUGGCCAUGGAGCCCACUUGGUUCCAGGACUGCUGGUGGCUGUUCCCAGGAGGCUGAGUGUGCCACAUUGCUGUUCCCACAGGGUGAUGGCCAGGGCAAGAAGCUCCGGAGAUGGAGGCGGCGAUUUCAGACAUCAGAGCCAUGUAAGUCCCCGGCAGGUCCCCCCGGAGGAACCCAGCCCCAUGUGGAGCAGGCUGGGUGUAUGGUACAAGGUUGGUUGUGGACCCCUGACACUCAGGAACCCCUCCCUGGCUUGCAGGUACCUCUGUGUCCCCCGUGUGCGGGCCCUGGUGCUCCACACCCGGCUGCACCGACUGCAUCAAGGCUGCGCUGGAGCUGCAGGAGCUGGUGCUGUCAGCGUGGGCUGGGAAAGGAGCUGCAGCCGAACUGGAUGAUUGCACAUGGCAGGCGCUCUGGCAGGACCUGAAGGAGCUGGUGGAGCAGGAGCAGCUGAGGUGCUGCGACUCCCCCAGUUACACCGAGAGCAUCAGUCCACCUGAGAGCCUGACAGCCACAGUCCUGACUCGAGAUGGAGGAGCCCCUAUGGAGGGUGAUGGCCAGGGCAAGAAGCUCCGGAGAUGGAGGCGGCGAUUUCAGACAUCAGAGCCAUGUACCUCUGUGUCCCCCGUGUGCGGGCCCUGGUGCUCCACACCCGGCUGCACCGACUGCAUCAAGGCUGCGCUGGAGCUGCAGGAGCUGGUGCUGUCAGCGUGGGCUGGGAAAGGAGCUGCAGCCGAACUGGAUGAUUGCACAUGGCAGGCGCUCUGGCAGGACCUGAAGGAGCUGGUGGAGCAGGAGCAGCUGAGGUGCUGCGACUCCCCCCGUUACACCAAGAGCAUCCGUCCACCUGAGAGCCUGAGAGCCACAGUCCUGACUCGAGAUGGAGGAGCCCCUAUGGAGAUGAAGGCUGCUUGCUUCCUCCAAGACACGGGUGCGGGCAGAGUCUCUUCAGCCCUGAAGAUGCACGUGGCUGGGAAAGCCCUGGAGAUACGGCUGGGGGCCCUGCCCGUGCUGGUGAAGAAGUCCCAGGAGCAAGCAGCACAGCAGCAGGGCUGCCUCCGUGUCCUGCC
rnacentral:lncRNA from 14 species